rnacentral:rRNA from 1 species
UACAGAGGGUGCGAGCGUUGUUCGGAAUUAUUGGGCGUAAAGCGCUUGUAGGCGGCUUGUUAAGUUCCGUGUGAAAUCCCCAGGCUUAACCUGGGAAGUGCGCGGAAAACUGGCGAGCUUGAGUGCCGGAGAGGGUCGCGGAAUUCCCGGUGUAGAGGUGAAAUUCGUAGAUAUCGGGGAGGAACACCAGUGGCGAAGGCGGCGACCUGGACGGACACUGACGCUGAGACGCGAAAGCGUGGGGAGCGAACGGG